AUUUGAAUUCACUAAAAUACACGGCGGGGAUGUCGAAUUCACUACUUCAACCUAUAUUUCAUGGAAAAUUGGCGUGUUUAUACCAUUCGAUUUUCCGACUAUUCGAGCUCUCAAGGUCCAGUUGUUGGAUCAAUGUCUCAAGUGUUUCGCAACGAGGGCUCUGGCAUUACCGACAGCUCUGCACAAUGUUAGUUCAAUGCCCGGGAGGAAGAGAUAUUGGUUGCUUCUUUGAUGGAAUUGACUGCACGCGGAUGGAAAUAUCAGACAAUGGUUUCCGGACCGGCUAUCUCCAACGCAUCAAAGACGACCCUUGAAAGAAAUUCCCCAAUACCAACCUGAAGGGUACUCCCCAAGAUCUCAGCUUGGAAGAAUAACUUCAAUAACCUCCGGAUGAUGCUUUCAAGGACUGGUGUUGGAUUCAAUCCAGACGGGAACCAUAAGAUAGACUGCAACGACGUGCAGUGGGCCCAGGUUGUGGCGGCUGAUAAGAUUGCCAAAUUUAUGCGCCUCAAACCAUGGCCUUUGUGGGAGGAAUGAAAUGUCAUCUUUGGAAAAUAACAUGUGAAGGCAUUGUUGAGGCCUUUUUGAGCAAUCGUUUAAUCCACC